rnacentral:rRNA from 1 species
GGACGAACGCUGGCGGCGUGCCUAACACAUGCAAGUCGAACGGGGUAAUUACUUCGGUGAUUACUUAGUGGCGAACGGGUGAGUAACGCGUGAGGGACCUGCCUCUCAGUGGGGGACAACAGUUGGAAACGACUGCUAAUACCGCAUAACGCAGCGAGACCGCAUGGUCUUGCUGUCAAAGCUUUAUGUGCUGAGAGAUGGACCCGCGUCUGAUUAGCUAGUUGGUGAGGUAACGGCCCACCAAGGCGACGAUCAGUAGCCGGCCUGAGAGGGUGGACGGCCACAUUGGGACUGAGACACGGCCCAAACUCCUACGGGAGGCAGCAGUGGGGAAUAUUGCACAAUGGGGGAAACCCUGAUGCAGCGACGCCGCGUGAGUGAAGAAGUAUUUCGGUAUGUAAAGCUCUAUCAGCAGGGAAGAAAAUGACGGUACCUGACUAAGAAGCCCCGGCUAACUACGUG